CAGCCGCCGCGGUAAUACGAAGGGGGCUAGCGUUGCUCGGAAUCACUGGGCGUAAAGGGUGCGUAGGCGGGUCUUUAAGUCAGGGGUGAAAUCCUGGGGCUCAACUCCAGAACUGCCUUUGAUACUGAAGAUCUUGAGUUCGGGAGGGGUGAGUGGAACUGCGAGUGUAGAGGUGAAAUUCGUAGAUAUUCGCAAGAACACCAGUGGCGAAGGCGGCUCACUGGCCCGAUACUGACGCUGAGGCACGAAAGCGUGGGGAGCAAACAGGAUUAGAUACCCCCGUAGUCCCUGUCUCUUAUAC
rnacentral:rRNA from 1 species